AAAACACAUGAGACGGAAUUGACCAUCUUAACCAUUUUCAGGUGUACAAUUCAGUAGUGUCAAGUAUAUUGAGAUUGCUGUGCAGCAGGUCUCCAGAACUUCAUCAUCUUGCAAAACUGAAACUCUAUGCCCAUUGAACAAAAACUCCUUCAUUUUCACCUCCCCCCAGUUGCUGACAAAUGCUUUGUUUACUUUAAACAAAGCUUAAGCAAUACAAGAUGACUCCUGCUCUUCUCGGAAGAACCUCUUACUGAGAUGGAAGGCGGCCCUAACACAAAAGCGAGAUUGUGACUACCUGGGGCCAUGUGAACCCUUUGGCAAGAAAACUUGUGAUCUUCUAGUCGAAUCAUAAGAAUGAAUACGGCAAACGUGAGGGGAAUGUCUUUCUCAUCAACACGUUACCUUAUCCAAGACUCUGUUGCUACUCAACUCCCUCUACAGUCUCUCUCUCCUUUGCUGUGUUUGAAGAAGCAAGCUACCACGGAUUCUGCAGCCACAAGUAAAUUAAUUCUGCCAAAAACCUGAGGGAGUUGGAAAAGGACCUCAAGCCUCAAGUGACCGGCCACACCUUGAUGGCAGUCUUAUGGGACCCUAAGCAGAGAACCCCACUAAGCCAUGCCCCGACUUCUGGCCUACAGAACCUCUCCCAGGUGCCUCAGCCUCCUUGAACUCCAAUCUCUGUGUCAUCAGUUCACCAAGAGCACCAUUCUGCCCUCCAUGUUUCACAGUAUGGAAUGUGCCUCCAGGCAGAAUUCCAGGUAAUCACGG
rnacentral:lncRNA from 1 species